rnacentral:rRNA from 1 species
CCCCUAGAUGUUCUGGGCCGCACGCGCGCUACACUGAACAGUUCAACAAGUUUUAACCUUGGCCGAUAGGUCUGGGUAAUCUUUGAACGCUGUUCGUGAUUGGGAUAGACCUUUGCAAUUAUGGGUCUUCAACGAGGAAUUCCUAGUAAACGCAAGUCAUCAGCUUGCAUUGAUUACGUCCCUGCCCUUUGUACACACCGCCCGUCGCACCUACCGAUUGAAUGGUCCGGUGAAAUCUCGGGACGGCGGCUUGGUCGCUUGCGUCCGACUGCUGAAACUUGAUUAAACCAUAUCAUUUAGAGGAAGGUGAANUCGUANCA